rnacentral:lncRNA from 1 species
GGCUUUGAUGGCUCUGCUCCACUCGGGGAAUAAUAUUAUCUUCGUUUUAUCGGCGUAUUAUUAAUAAAUAAUGUUCUACUUCACAAUGCUUCCUGCAUUUGUCAUGUAGAUUUAGGUCGGUUUUGACCGAGAAAUGGGUUUUGAAUCCUAAAAAUGGUAUGUAUCAAACAUAUGAUGCAGCAUUUUAAUGAUGUGUGUGCGCGCGCUCAUGCGCAAAACUUGGAUGAGCUGACCUAGCUACAUGUUUGAACUUUGAAUGAAUGAUGUUUCGUGUCAACUGCAUGGUUUCUGCUAGGGGUAUGCCCCAUGAUGGAUUGUUGUUGUAAGCUAGAGGCUAGGGCUGAUUCUGUGUCUGUCUCUUACUGCU